CGUCCAGGUCCUCCCCUCACGUUGGGCCCCCGGGGACUGGAGUGGGGUCUGCGUGUCAGUUCCCUCAGGGCUGUGAGACUCGGGUCCUCUCUUUCUGUCUCUCACUCGGAAGAAGUACGCUGCCUUUCUUCUCCUAGAUUCACUCAUGUCUUCAGCUGCCCGGCCUCAGCUGUGAUGCUGUGAUCACCCUUCCCAGCCUCGGCACUUUUCUCGGGUGUUCCAGCGUCCAGGCCCUGUUACUCAACGGGCCUGCAUGUCCCGGGCUGGGGCCUGGUAUGGGUUCUGCCUCGCUGAGAAUCCUGGCUCUUCUCAGCUAAUCAUGCUCCUCGUUCACCCCAAGUCUAGUUGCAGCAUGACUACUAGCAAGGGCAGGAAAGACAAGGGAAGCAUUUCAGCUCUGCAGGAGGCGAACUUUCUAACAUUUAGAGCUGUCCAACAGAGAGGAGCAGGCUGCACUUCUUAGGGGUAGUGAGCUGACUGAUACAGGAACAUCCAAAACAGAAGUGAGACGGGAGGCGGUCUGGCUCAACCUGCAGGAGGAUAUUCCUGCCUGACUGGGAGCUGCACGGAUGACCUUUAAGGUAUGUUCUAACUAAGGUUUCUCUGACUGUUCACUUCUGUUAACUUGAUGCGUCAUAUGUCAUUUUUGUUUAAAACAAAACAAAACCGACCUAAAUACAUUUAAUGUAACUGUAUGGCUUACAAUGAAAAUUGACAAAACGAGAAGUGGGGAAUUAUAUUUAUUAUCUGAAGAUACGGUCCAAUUGGUAUAGCUUUUAAGUGAAAGGGAGGGGGAAGAGAGAUCAUUGGAUGAUGUUCCGAGCAAGUGAGGAGUGUCAUUUUUUUUUUCCCCACACGUCUUCUCCAGCACCAGGUACAUGGAAACGUGAGGGCGGGGGAUCGGCGGACAGGUCCCAGCAAGGCGGUUCGCGACCGGGAGCGG
rnacentral:lncRNA from 1 species